rnacentral:rRNA from 1 species
GGCGGUAGGCUUAACACAUGCAAGUCGAACGGUAACAUAGCUAGCUUGCUAGCUGAUGACGAGUGGCGGACGGGUGAGUAACGCGUAGGAAUCUACCUAUUAGUGGGGGACAACCUGGUGAAAACCAGGCUAAUACCGCAUACGCCCUACGGGGGAAAGCAGGGGAUCUUCGGACCUUGCGCUAUUAGAUGAGCCUGCGUUAGAUUAGCUUGUUGGUGAGGUAAUGGCUCACCAAGGCGACGAUCUAUAGCUGGUCUGAGAGGAUGAUCAGCCACACUGGGACUGAGACACGGCCCAGACUCCUACGGGAGGCAGCAGUGGGGAAUAUUGCGCAAUGGGCGAAAGCCUGACGCAGCCAUACCGCGUGUGUGAAGAAGGGUUUAGGCUCGUAAAGCACUUUAAGUAGGGAGGAAGGCCUGUAAAUUAAUACUUUGCAGGAUUGACGUUACCUACAGAAUAAGCACCGGCUAACUCCGUGCCAGCAGCCGCGGUAAUACGGAGGGUGCAAGCGUUAAUCGGAAUUACUGGGCGUAAAGCGCGCGUAGGCGGUUUGUUAAGCGAGAUGUGAAAGCCCAGGGCUCAACCUUGGAACUGCAUUUCGAACUGGCAGGCUAGAGUACAAGAGAGGGUGGUAGAAUUUCCUGUGUAGCGGUGAAAUGCGUAGAUAUAGGAAGGAAUACCAGUGGCGAAGGCGGCCACCUGGCUUGAUACUGACGCUGA